CAAGAGACCAAUUAACACCUUAUUUUUAGGAUUAGCCAUUCUGGUAUUUGCAGAUAGUUUCUUAAACAGGACUGUUUGGAGUUCACACUGUAGGAGUAAGUGAAGUGUUGAUAAAAGAGAUUCCAGAACAAAUAAAGAUUUCUACAGUAAAAGCUGGGGAGGUGUGUAGGGCUCCAGUCUUUGGGUUCACAGCUUGGCUCUACAUUCAUUGCUGGAGGAAUCCAAGCCUCACAAAAGACCGCUUUUAAAGAAAAACUCUAUUUUUCUUAGAAGAACUAGAAUAUGUAACACCAUUGUGAGAAAUAAAACCCCAAGGUGAACAAGAUUGAAAGUGAAGGCAGCGCUCUAAGGAGGAAGCCAGCUGGCUUGAAUGGUGAUGUAAACAGCCUUGGAGCUUUAACCAAACUUGAGUAAGAACUCCCUGACUUGGAAACACUCAAGUUUCCCACACAUGACUGGAUGGCCCUGGCCACACUGGGAACGGAAUGGGGGCCUCCCAUUGGAACUCAGGGUGGAGGGGGAAGCUCGACCAGCUAUUGUGGCCCCCACUUCCAUUGACAAAAUGUGGUGGUGAGACUUGCUCUUGGAUGCUGUCAGGAAGUAUCAUCUGACUGCGUUUGCUACCCUGGGGGAGACAAACAAAACUUGAGUGAAGGAAAAUGAGAACUCACCUGAAACCAAGAAGAGUCUUUGGAAAAGGAUUUUUGUGUAGGUCAUCUGGAAAGUGUUUACUCUUAGCAGUUAUGCAUAACUAUAGUCUUAAGAACAAAGUGAGGUGGGGGUGCGGGUAAGGGUGGGAAUGGGGUAGGGGUAAACGAGUGGGUGGAGACGUGUCUGUGUGUCCAAAAAACUGCCCCAAAGCAAACAUGGCCACGUGCACACAUCUAAACCAAUGUGUCUCUUAAGACUUUAGCCUCCAGUAUACUAUGUAGUCGCUGCAUUCGUUGACUUUCUUGUCUUACUCAGCAAAAGAUGUAGACGAUUUCCACUAUCUUUCCAUAGACCCUCGCUAAAUGACCAGAUGGGAAAAGUCUAUUGCCUGACCAAAUUGCCAGUCAGCCCAUGAGCAGUCCAGACAGUGCAGGAUUUAUAGAAAAGGAAUUUUUAUGAUUUCUUCCUGCCCAACCCCCACUAAGAAGCAAAGGCCCUACUCUUGACCUUGGCAUCCCCUUGUUGCUUUCUUCUCGUCCAUGACACCUAGGCUUGAUAUUCUUUACCUUGGGUAUUCUUGUGAAUAUUUGCUGAAUUUUCAUUUACACCAAAUACAAUUCAGAAGACAGAGGCUUUCCAAGGUAUGAGUGUGUAAGUAUGUUAAAGAAAAGCUCUCAGCUUGUCUCAUGGUUUAAAGUCCUCCUAAGAUAUCUGAGCUGAAUCUAAGGAAUAAAGUAGAUUGGUUCCUCCCUGUCUGAUGAGUUUUAUCAAAAUGUGAUAAAAUGUGGUAAAGAAAAAUGGUGGGCCAACUUCGUUAUAGUUCUACUGAGGGACACUGUACAGGUAAACCAGGCCAUAACUCAUUUGUCCUGUGACAGUUUUUAUUAUUCUGUUUUUAUGCAGUUUUGAAGAGUGAGGGGAAUUGCCCUAGACAACAGAUGUGAGAGACUUUUUUCUUUCUUUCUGUCCUGUGGACAGGCCUCAGGCUCCAGCCCAGUGACUCAUUGUUGUGGUAUUAUAUACCUCAAGAUGAAGUGUGUGCGGUGGAAAGUGUGGGCAGGAUUUAUCAGUGCGACUUCUUCCUUUGAAGUAUCAAGGCAGGCUACUUUGCUGAUGGUUUCUGGAACCUGGCCAAGCCCCAAUAUACUGUGAAAAUAGCUGUCUUAGGUUUUCCUGGCACAUGAGAACAUUUGCACUUGAUUCUCAGACCUCCAUUGCUUUCUGAUGUUUUUGAGGCCAGUGUUCUUGGGAUUUAGGGCUCAGGGCCAGAUUGUAACCCUGCCUGUUUGUACUCCUUCAAAUGCCCCAUCCCAACAUGGUUUUGAUGGCUCCAGAUACAGACUGUAACACCAACUUGAGUUCCAAAGUGCAGGCUGGCUUUAGGUUGCUUUUAAGCAUUCAUGCAUAAAUUUCUCUAUAGCCCACAUUUCCUGCUACCCUGCCCCCACUAACAAAAUGCUGACUCUUAAGGCGUUUUACUGUGACAAUGCUUUCUACGGCAAAGCAUCUUCACAUUUUCAGCUUGAAAGCAAGGCAAUGUGUACGCGGAGAAAAACAUAGGAAUACCAUGAUAACUCUAUCAGUAAAUUGAAAAAAUAGGGCUGGGCAUGAUGGUUUUACACCUGUAAUCCCAGCACUUUGGAGGCCAAGGCCAGUGGAUUACUUGAGGCCAGGAGCUUGAGACCAG
rnacentral:lncRNA from 1 species